CCUACGGGAGGCAGCAGUGGGGGAUAUUGCACAAUGGGGGAAACCCUGAUGCAGCGACGCCGCGUGGGCGAAGAAGUAUUUCGGUAUGUAAAGCCCUAUCAGCAGGGAAGAAGAAAUGACGGUACCUGAGUAAGAAGCACUGGCUAAAUACGUGCCAGCAGCCGCGGUAAUACGUAUGGGGCAAGCGUUAUCCGGAUGUACUGGGUGGAAAGGGAGCGGAGGCGGCACGGCAAGCAUGAUGUGAAAGCCCGCGGCCCAACCGCGGGACUGCAUUGGGAACUACCGGGCUGGUGGGACGGGGGGGUAGGCGAACUUCCUGGUGUGGCGGUAAACUACG
rnacentral:rRNA from 1 species